rnacentral:tRNA from 1 species
GGGAAUGUGGCUCAGUGGUAGAGUGCUUGCCUGGCAUGCAUAAAGUCCUGGGUUUGAUUCUCAGCACCA